UAGGAGGGAAACGAAUGCGUCUGAAGCGGGUCCCCGUCAGGCUCAGGAGGAGGCGGGGGUUUCCCGGUCGCGGGCGGAGGCCGCUUCGAAAGGCUCCGGCUCGCGGUCGCGUGGCCUCCCCGUCCACUCUGCACUUCUGCGGGGAGCCGGCCAACGGCAGUCGCCCCCGGCUCUGGAGGCGUUUUCCGGGGGAGGUGGCCCUGCGCUCCGGCGCGGGGAGCGUACAGCCCCGGCGCCCGGCAGUCCGGGCGAAUUUCGAUGAGAAUCGAGGCGACUGAGGAGAGAAAAACGUCGCGGUCCCUCGCGCGUUGCGGCGCGGGCCUCCCUCCCCGUCGGUCCCUCCUGGCUCUCGCGGGCUGGGAGGCGAUCGGUGGGCGGGCGGAGGCUGGGCCCGUCCCGUCGGGUCGGCGGCCGAGGCGUCCCACUGCUCGUUCAGUGGUCGUCGACGGCCAACCGUCGACUCCGGCCGGGAGUCGGGUCACACCUCGCGCCGCGGUCGUUGGCG
rnacentral:rRNA from 1 species